rnacentral:piRNA from 2 species
UGGUAUUGCAGUACUUCCAGGAAC